rnacentral:rRNA from 1 species
GACGAACGCUGGCGGCGUGCUUAACACAUGCAAGUCGAACGGAAAGGCCUGCUUUCCCUUGUGGAUUGCGGGUACUCGAGUGGCGAACGGGUGAGUAACACGUGAGUGAUCUGCCCCCAACUUGGGUAUAAGCCUGGGAAACUGUGUCUAAUUCCCGAUAGGACUGCAGGGUGGUGCCUGUGGUGGAAAACGAUUUUCUAGUGGUUGGGGAUGAGCUCGCGGCCUAUCAGCUUGUUGGUGGGGUAAUGGCCUACCAAGGCGGCGACGGGUAGCCGGCCUGAGAGGGUGGACGGCCACAUUGGGACUGAGAUACGGCCCAGACUCCUACGGGAGGCAGCAGUGGGGAAUAGUGCACAAUGGGCGGAAGCCUGAUGCAGCGACGCCGCGUGGGGGAUGACGGCCUUCGGGUUGUAAACUCCUUUCGACCGCGAGGAAGCCACCUGGUUGGAAGGGUGGUGACGGUAGUGGUAGAAGAAGCACCGGCUAACUACGUG